AGGACGAACGCUGGCGGCGUGCUUAACACAUGCAAGUCACGGGGGCCCGCAAGGGCAACCGGCGAACGGGUGCGUAACACGUGAGCAACCUACCGAGAUCUGGGGGGAUAGCCGGCCCAACGGCCGGGUAAUACCGCAUACGCUCUUUCCACGGCAUUGUGGAUUGAGGAAACCUCCGGGGGAUUUCGAGGGGCUCGCGGCCUAUCAGCUAGUUGGCAGGUCACGGCUCACCAAGGCGACGACGGGUAGCUGGUCUGAGAGGAUGGCCAGCCACAUUGGGACUGAGAAACGGCCCAGACUCCUACGGGAGGCAGCAAGUGGGGAAUCGUUGCGGCAAACUGGCCGAAAAGGGCUGACGCAAGCGACGCCGCGUCGUGGGAGGAAGCCCCUUCGGGUCGUAAACCGACUGUUGCCCGGGGACGAAUAAGACCCUUCGGUGGGCCGUGUACGGUAACCGGGUGAGGAAGCGAACCGGCGUAAACGU
rnacentral:rRNA from 1 species